CCGACAUAUCAGCAAGUCCAAUCAAGGCGCUCAGCUUAUGUUCCUGCUGAUGGUGAAGGAAAGUUGCGUUAUUAGCUGGUGGGGAUGUAUUGGCGAUACUUCUGUUUGCUGCAAUUGGAAGAUUUAGCCAUGAUUUCCUGUUUUCGAAGCUGAAACGUUGCGUAUUGGUCACCCAUUCAUCGCGGGAUGAUUUCUUAGUGCAUACUUCUUUGGAGGAUAUAGUGAGGAUGGUCAAGGGAUGAAUGGUUCGAAUAAGGCAGUAGCUGCUGCGGCUAAAUCUUGGGCCUUGGGUAUACCGGUAAGUCCGUUUUUUCCCUUUUUCAUGUUUACUCCAUGAAUUCACACUUGAAAGAUCGAUCCUCAUUGAACAAUGCAUUUCUGCUCCAAAUAAAGUCUGCAACUUCUUAAACUGUAUA